UUUUGUUUGGCCCAUCAUGUACCUUCAUCGAAAUGGACCGAUGCUUGCCAAGGGAAUAGCUCAAGGAAACCAUAUGUAGAACAGCCCGCCCCAAAACGCUGAAGUACUGAGUGGUUUGGAUGUUCUGAUACGAGGUUUGAAGAUAUGCCCUGGACAAUAAAUCCGACGUCCGGACAUGUGAGAAAAUUAUUUACCUUCAGCACAACUGUUCCCGGAUAAAUUGUUUGGACUUGAGCGUUGAUGUGGCCUAUGCCAGUUUUUCUAGAUUAAAUUAAAAUAAAUGAUCAUAUGCAAAUUAUUAUUUGCCAACUUAGCAAGAAUAUAUGAAACCUAAUCGGUAAAAUGGUAUCUUCAAAACAGUAUUUCUAUGGGCCUAAUCGAUUACCUUAUUGGGCCUUGGAUGGCUUUAUGUAAUUUAAUAUAUUUCAUAUGCUACAUAUUUAUACAGGUUCAAUGUGGGCUUGGGCAAGAGUCUGUUUGUUUCGGGAACCCGUAUAUCGCUGUUGAAAAAGUGUCUUAUGACGCUUGGGCAAUUGGGUAACAAGAAUGCGUUGAAAUGAUUCAUUCAAUGAGUUGUUUUAACUACAAUAAUGUGUCAACAAUUACUUUAAACAGUCUAUGUGAUAGCAUCUUGUCUACAUUAUGUGUUUGUGUCACCUGUAUAAUAUUUAUAAUAUAAUGUAUUUGUUGACUAUGCUGAUUAAAGUUAACCGCUU